GGUCGCUUAACUCAGUUGGUUAGAGUGUCGUACUAAUAUGGCCGGUUCUCCGGACUCUGAAAUGCGAAAGUCGCCAGUUCGAUCCUGGUAGUGACCA